GAAUCUAGGAAAACGUGCUACAGAACUGUCCCCAAAUCAAAGGCUUUUGGCUGCUGGCAGCCAGGCAUCAGCCAGACAGACGUUAAGGAAAGGGGACAUUGCAAAAAAAUAUCUCUAGUAGGAGGAAGUGGUUUGAGUUUCCUGCUUGAAAGAGGACACUUCAUUUAAAUAGAAUUAAGUAGAAUUUCAGGGAAUAGGGAAGUAUCCUGAGUCUACUGCUUGGACCUUGAAUUCUGCUUCUUGCAGAGAAGGAUUCAGAAAUGGCCUCCCGGGGAACCAGAGGGAGGUUUUUAGCAAAGACUCUCAACCCAGGAUGGGAAUGGAUGUGAGAGAAUAUACUUCUACCUGUUGGGCCCUGUUCUGUGCUGGACAUUUACCUCAGUUAGUCCUCUUGACAUUCUCCCCAAAUCCUGGUAGAAACUCAGGUGCUCAGAGGAGAAGCCAUUUACCACAGAAGACCCAGCCAGGCAGAUCCACUCCCCAGGCGGCUGCUGAUGCAGAGCUUUCUCCCAAAGCCAGCAGACGAUCCCUGCACCCUUUGGACCUCAAUCUAAGUGAGCUUCUUUCUCUUUUUUUUUAAGGGCUGCACCCCUGGCAUAUGAAAGUUCCCAGGCUAGGGAUUGAAUAGGAGCUGCAGCAGGCAGCUUGUGCCACAGCCACAGCAACGUGGGAUCUGAACUGUGUCUGUGCACAGCUCAUAGCAACACCUGAUCCUUAACCCACUAGGCUGGCCCAGGGAUCGAACCCACAUCCUCAUGGAUACUAGCUGGGUUUGUAACCUGCUGAGCCACAACAGGAACUCCCAUAAGUGAGCUUCUCUUACCUAUGUGCAGACAGUUACCAGGCCAGUCCCUUUCCCUGCUUUGCAAAGCUCAGCUUUGCCCAGCUCACCUCUUUCAACAGACCCUGGGGAGGUUAGACUAGGAGUCUGAGGAAAGGCCCUGGUUGCAUUCAGUUCUGUCUCCCUGGUACCCACCCAGGGGGCAGGGUAGAUGCUCUGGAAUAAGGGCUCCCAUGGGUGCCAGGAUCUUUCCUCAUAAUAAUAGCUCAUUUCAUUCUCACACCAAACCAGUGAGGUAGGUCUCAUCUUCCCCAUGUUUGGAGAUGGGAAAGCUGAGGCUCAAGAAGGGAAGUAAUUUUCUCAGUUGAUUGUAAUUUUUUAAAAUAAAGGUAUUCCCUGAGUCUGGUAUAGGUAAGAUGUUUUGGGACACUUGGGCAAGAAGUAUCAUAUGUAUUUGUCACUUGUCCCUAGGUAUCUCUGGGGGAUUUGUUCCAGGACUCUCAUGGAUAUCAAAAUCUGCAGAUGCCAAGUUCCUUAUACAAAAGGGUGUCGUGUUUGUGUAUAACCUACUCACAUCCUCCUGUCUACUUCUCCUAUGUAGAUAAUCAUCUCUAGAUUAUUUAAAUAGCUAAUGCAGUGUAAAUGCUAUGUAAAUAGUUGGAAAUGCAAUGUAAAUGCUAUGCAAAUAGUUGCCGGUAUACAGUAAAUUCAAGUUUUGCUUUUUGGAACUUUCUGGAAUCUUCCCCCUCCGCCCCCCGUAAGUUUUCGCGUGCUGCCAUUGGUUGGAUCUGUGGAACCCAGGGAUACGGAAAUCUGACUGCACUUCUAAUUCACAUCAGUCUGGAUUGCCACUGCCUCUCCCCCCCACGCCCUGCAUUUGGCAGGAAAUUUCAUCUCAGCUCUGUGAGGUAGAGGUUGCCCCAAGCCCUAGGGGUUUAUAAGGAAUGGAGUUUAGAGAAGAGUCUGUCUCUGGUCUUUAGCUCCAAGAUGCUCCAGCUACACAGGUGAUGUUAACGAAACUUCAGCUUCAGAGCCCUUCACCUGCACAGGCUCUUUCUGAGAGGGACUCUGGAAUGUGUCCCCCAGUCAGAUAUUAGAAAAUUUGCAAAAGUACGAUCCUUUGACUUCAGUGGGUGAAGAUGGCUGUCUUCAUCCACCCAUCAUCCCUCCUCUCCAUCACAUGUCCCCUCCAGGGGCAGUCGGAAUGGCUAUGGGCAUUUUCUAUCUGCAAUUUUUUUUCUUAAAAGUUCCCCCAAUUGUAUAUGCUUCAGGCCCCACAGAACCUAGCUCUGCUCCCGCUGUGCUCCACUCAAAGGGGGCCUCCCCUUCUACAUGUGCCACUGGUGGCUGCUCUUGUGGCCCCUGGAGCCAUGGCUCUUCCUUUCCGUCUCUGGGGUUUUCACUUUCAGAGGUUCUGCUCCUUUGGGGGGAGAGGGUCCUCUUUGGGAGUGGGAUGCAGGGACUCCUUUUUGGAAACAGCAGCUCCUACCAUUUAUUUUGCCAUCUUGGAAAACCCCUGCCAGGGUCAGGCCAUUCCCCCUUGGAGCUCAAGGAUCAGCUCUGCCCACUGCCCCCCUCUGGAAUGGUCGAUCUUUAUUUCCCUAGGGAAGUCAGGGAGAGGAUGUGUAGGAAUGGCCAGACCUUCUGAAAGACAAGAGUGGCCUCCUCCUCUCCUGUGGGAGAAGGUAUUCCAUGGAACCUAAGGAAGCAGAUCAACCACUACACCAGACUUUUUUUUUGCUUCCCGCCAGGAUGCAUGGACUAAAGGGGAGGGGGCUUCCUGGAAGAAGUGGCAUUUGAGCUAGGCUGUAAAGAAUGGACAGGUUUCUAUGGGGUGACAGGGUGGGGAAGUCAUGACUGAAAAGGGUCCAGAAGUACAGUUGCUUUGCAAACACAGUGUUAGAGUCAAAGAACAGAGGAAAGGCCAGCCAUGAAACAGCAGGCAUGGUGGACGUGGUUGUUUUUAUGCUCUUAGAUGAAGAAAGGUCAAAGCAAAGGUCUCUGAUAUUCUCUGAAGAGAGAACAUCCAGGUUGUUUUCCUCCCCAGAGCUGAGUAAACAGGAUUAUUGGAACCUGGGGUGGCCUUGGCAGGACACUGCUGCCCAGCUGGCCCCGGGAGAGAGGGCAGUGUGGAAAUGGCUGCGAUUAGGCACUGCCCUGGCCUCUGGACUCAUCUCCUAAGGAAACGCCUCUGUUGGGACAACCUGUCUCAGACACUUGGAAACUGUAUCUCAGAUCAGAAAAUACGCAUAGCCUUUGACCCAACAAUUCCACUUCUAGAAAUACAGUAAGGAGAAAUCGCUGCUGAUGUGUGUAAAGAUAUGCUGACAAAAAUGCAGUGCCAUGUAUAAUAGAGAAAAGUUGGAAGUAUCUAGCAAGGGGGGGUAAGUUAAGGAACUUUGAGUGUAUCUAUAUGAUGGAAAAAUAUUAGCGUGUGUGUAUAUAUAUAGAUGUAUGUAUGUGUGUGUGUGUGUGUGUGUGUGUGUGUGUGUAUGUAGAUUUAUUUAUGGUCACACCCAUGGCAUAUGGAAGUUCCCAGGCCAGGGACUGAAUCAAGGCCGCAGGUCUGACGUAUGCCCCUGCUUUAGAAAUGCCAGAUCUUUUAACCCACUGCACCAGCCUGGGGGUCAAACCCACACCUCUGCAGCGACCCAAGUCACUGCAGUUAGGUUCUUAGCCCACUGCACCACAGCAGGAACUCCUAGUCAAUAUUUAUUGAUAUGGAAUAUUUAGGAUAUUUUGCCAAAUGAAGGGCUGGCUAUAAUGCAGUGUGUACUGUCUGUUCUCAGUUAUGUAAUAUAUAUUAUGCUCACACUCACUGCAUAUUUCCUGUGUGCCAGGCAUGGCUCUAAGCACUUAAAAUAUAUUAAUACAUUUAAUUCUGCAACAAACCUAUGAAGAAGAUAUCUUAAUUAUCUAUACAUUGCACUUAAGGCCACCGAGACACAGAGUGUUUAAGUCAUCUAUCCAAAGUCACACAGUGGUCAGUGGCAGAACCUGGAGUGAACAAGCAGUUCUAGAGUCCACAGUGUGAACCACUAGGCUGCUGUGCUCUCUCUUCCUAUGUGUAUGUGUGUGUGUGUAGGUUUUUUUUUUUCUCUCUCUCUCUCAGAGUAUCUGCAACAAAAUAUUAGCUGUGUUUUAAGUAAUCCUCUCCUACAACAGUAACGGCAGCUAUUUCCAUGGUACAAGUGAUGAGUGUAGCUAUUUUGCAACUACUACUAUACUGCAGCUGGUGUUGGCCCUGGAGGACAUCCAGACCUUGACCAUGGAGACCACAACGUGUGCCUUUGUGGAUCCUCCACUGGCCAGACACAGCAUUUCCCCAAUUCACUGAUGCAGCAGAGAUGGAGCAUCUCUGUUCUGUGCAGGCCUGUUCUAGGUUCUGAGGAUUUGGCAGUGAACAAGGCAAGACACACAAGUCCAGUUCCCUUAUAAAAUAUGUUCUUGUUGGGGAGGCAAGGAGGUAAAUAAAUAGCUAAGAAAAACAGCAGCUUCAGCUCAGCAUUGUUGAGAACUGCAAUUACAAUGGUAUGAUCGGAACAUUAAAUGGUCAGGGAAGGUGACCUUUCAGAGGUGGCAUUUCAGCUGAGACUUGAAUGAUGCACACCUAUAUUUCUGUAUUUAAGUAUCUCUCUCUCUCUCUCUCGUGCAUUUCUACCUACCUACCUAAUUGGAGAAAGAGAGAGACUGGGAAAGAGAGAAAGGGGGUGGGGGGGGAGGAGGAAGCCAAUACAGUUGAAUGUUAAUAUUUGGGGAAUCUGAGUGAAGGAUACAUUAAAAUGUUUUGUACAAACAUUGCAACAUUUCUGCAAGUCAAAACUAUUUUAAAAUAAAAGGUUAAAAAUAUAUUAAAAGAAAUAUAUAAGAAAUAAAAAAUGAUCAUUCUACAGCCAAGGAAGUAGUUAGGAAGGCUUGCUGUUGAAUGUUACUUGGUGGGUGAGGAAAUCAAGGGGUGGGUGGUUGCUGGUGCCAUUGACUGAAGUUGGGUGAGGAUGAGGUUUGAGGAGCAGAAAUCAACAUUUUUUUUUGGGGGGGGUCCUGUUAACUUAAGAGGCCUUGUAGUCACUGUUCACAAACUACUGUAUAUUCAUUCUGUCACUGGGUCUUUCCUUGUAUGUCUAUUAGUUAGGAUUGGAAUAUUCCUCUUCUGCCAAUGAAGAAAUUGAGGCCAAGAGUAGGAAAUUGACUGCACAAGGUCUCAUGGUGAGUGGGUAGCAGUUAGGGGCCAAAGUCCCAUCUUCUAAAUCUACUAAACACAAUGCUUCUAAGGUUGACUCAUAAGAGACAUUCCACAUGUAUUUUCUGCUGCUUCUAAGAUGCACUGGCAUUGAACAGGCUGG
rnacentral:lncRNA from 1 species